rnacentral:ncRNA from 1 species
AUAAAGUCGAUGAACAAGACGAGUACCUGUUUUACUGACAUCACAGAGAGCCGGAGCUGGUGGAAUCCGGUAUGGAAGGGAUAGGGAAUGGACUUGCAAGACGCAGGGUGAAAGAUGAAGCUUUAUAUUGAGUUUUUGAGUAGCCUGUGCCGUAUGACCCGCGUUAAGGGCAAGAGGGAUUCCAAUAAGACGUGAUGGCGCAUGGAGUCUGAAUUAGGGUGGUACCACGAACAAUUCGUCCCUGGC